CGGACGGGUGAGGUAUGUAUGGGGAUCUGCCCGAUGGCGGGGGAUAACUACUGGAAACGGUAGCUAAUACCGCAUAACGUCGCAAGACCAAAGAGGGGGACCUUCGGGCCUCUUGCCAUCGGAUGUGCCCAGAUGGGAUUAGCUAGUAGGUGGGGUAACGGCUCACCUAGGCGACGAUCCCUAGCUGGUCUGAGAGGAUGACCAGCCACACUGGAACUGAGACACGGUCCAG
rnacentral:rRNA from 1 species